rnacentral:rRNA from 1 species
AAAUUCUGCCCUAUGAAUAUUUAAUGGCUGCAGUAUUUUGACUGUACAAAGGUAGCAUAAUAAUUAGUUCUUUAAUUGAGGACUGGAAUGAAAGAUUAAAUGAGAAAUUUAUUUUAUUAUUUUUAUUUUUUAAAUUUUAUUUUUGGGUAAAAAAGCUUAAUUACUUUUUAGGGACGAAAAGACCCUAUAGAACUUUAUUUAAUUUACUUUAUUUAUUAUAAAUUCCAAAUAAUUAAUUUUGUUUAAAUUUUGUUGGGGCGACAAAUAAAAUAAUCUUUAUUUUUUAAAUUCAUUAAUCUAUGACUUUUUUGAAUUAAAUUUUAAUUAUAAGAUUAAGUUACCUUAGGGAUAACAGCGUAAUUUUUAUGGGGAGUUCAUAUCUAUAUAAAAGUUUGCGACCUCGAUGUUGAAUUAAGAUAAGUUAAUGGGGAAGCAUCUAUUAUACUGAGUCUGUUCGACUUUUAAAUUCUU